AAAGUCCGGGGCUCAACUCCGGAUCUGCGGUGGGUACGGGCAGACUAGAGUGAUGUAGGGGAGACUGGAAUUCCUGGUGUAGCGGUGAAAUGCGCAGAUAUCAGGAGGAACACCGAUGGCGAAGGCAGGUCUCUGGGCAUUAACUGACGCUGAGGAGCGAAAGCAUGGGGAGCGAACAGGAUUAGAUACCCUGGUAGUCCAUGCCGUAAACGUUGGGCACUAGGUGUGGGGGACAUUCCACGUUUUCCGCGCCGUAGCUAACGCAUUAAGUGCCCCGCCUGGGGAGUACGGCCGCAAGGCUAAAACUCAAAGGAAUUGACGGGGGCCCGCACAAGCGGCGGAGCAUGCGGAUUAAUUCGAUGCAACGCGAAGAACCUUACCAAGGCUUGACAUGAACCGGAAAGACCUGGAAACAGGUGCCCCGCUUGCGGUCGGUUUACAGGUGGUGCAUGGUUGUCGUCAGCUCGUGUCGUGAGAUGUUGGGUUAAGUCCCGCAACGAGCGCAACCCUCGUUCUAUGUUGCCAGCACGUGAUGGUGGGGACUCAUAGGAGACUGCCGGGGUCAACUCGGAGGAAGGUGGGGACGACGUCAAAUCAUCAUGCCCCUUAUGUCUUGGGCUUCACGCAUGCUACAAUGGCCGGUACAAAGGGUUGCGAUACUGUGAGGUGGAGCUAAUCCCAAAAAGCCGGUCUCAGUUCGGAUUGGGGUCUGCAACUCGACCCCAUGAAGUCGGAGUCGCUAGUAAUCGCAGAUCAGCAACGCUGCGGUGAAUACGUUCCCGGGCCUUGUACACACCGCCCGUCAAGUCACGAAAGUUGGUAACACCCGAAGCCGGUGGCCUAACCCCUUGUGGGAGGGAGCUGUCGAAGGUGGGACUGGCGAUUG
rnacentral:rRNA from 1 species